rnacentral:rRNA from 1 species
UGGGGAAUAUUGGACAAUGGGCGCAAGCCUGAUCCAGCCAUGCCGCGUGCAGGAUGACGGUCCUAUGGAUUGUAAACUGCUUUUUGUACAGGAAGAAACAGUUCUACGUGUAGAACCUUGACGGUACUGUAAGAAUAAGGAUCGGCUAACUCCGUGCCAGCAGCCGCGGUAAUACGGAGGAUCCAAGCGUUAUCCGGAAUCAUUGGGUUUAAAGGGUCCGUAGGCGGUUAGAUAAGUCAGUGGUGAAAGCCCAUCGCUCAACGGUGGAACGGCCAUUGAUACUGUCUGACUUGAAUUAUUAGGAAGUAACUAGAAUAUGUAGUGUAGCGGUGAAAUGCUUAGAGAUUACAUGGAAUACCAAUUGCGAAGGCAGGUUACUACUAAUGGAUUGACGCUGAUGGACGAAAGCGUGGGUAGCGAACAGGAUUAGAUACCCUUGUAGUCCCUGAGCGGGCUGGCAAGGCGCAU